rnacentral:rRNA from 1 species
AGUGCAACUGCAGUCGAGCGAAUGGAGCUUGCUCUUAUGAAGUUAGCGGCGGACGGGUGAUUAACACGUGGGUACCUGCCCAUAAGACUGGAUAACUCCGGGAAACCGGGGCUAAUACCGGAUAACAUUUUGAACCGCAUGGUUCGAAAUUGAAAGGCGGCUUCGGCUGUCACUUAUGGAUGGACCCGCGUCGCAUUACUAGUUGGUGAGGUAACGGCUCACCAAGGCAACGAUGCGUACCGACCUGAGAGGGUGAUCGGCCACACUGGGACUGAGACACGGCCCAGACUCCUACGGGAGGCAGCAUAGGGAAUCUUCCGCAUGGACGAAAGUCUGACGGAGCAACGCCGCGUGAGUGAUGAAGGCUUUCGGUCGUAAAACUCUGUUGUUAGGGAAGAACAGUGCUAGUUGAAUAAGCUGGCACCUUGACGGUACCUAACCAAAAGCCACGGCUAACUACGUGCCACGCCGCGGUAAUACGUAGUGGCAGCGUUAUCCGAAUUAUUGGGCGUAAAGCGCGCCAGUGGUUUCUUAAGUCUGAUGUGAAAGCCACGGUCACCGUGGAGGGUCAUUGGAAACUGGGANACUUGAGUGCAAAAAGGAAAGUGGAAUUCAUGUGUAGCGUGAAAUGCUAAAUAUGGAGAACACUGGAAGACUUUCGGUCUGACUGACACUGAGGCGCAGGGAGCAAACGGAUUAAUACCCUGAUCAGCGUCAGAGUGAGUGUUAGAGUUCGCCCCUUAUCUAA